UACGACACAGACACACAGAGGGAAGACCACGUGAGGAUACAGGAAGAAGAUAACCAUCUACAAGCCAAGGAGAGAGGCUUCAGAAGGAACCAACCCUGCCAACACCUUGAUCUUGGACAACUAGCCUCCAAAACAUACAAUGUUGAAUAGAAGUGGUGAGAGUGGACAUCCUUGUUUUGUUCCUGACCUUAGCGGGGAAGCAUCCAGUUUUUCAUCACUAGAGGGAGAUUUUAGACACAAACAGAAGAAAAGGACACAGAUGAAAGAGGAGAAGCAAUGUGACCAUGCAGGCAGACAUUGGAGUGAUGCGGCUGAAAUCAAGGAAUGCCAGUAGCCACGAGAAGCUGGAAGAGGCAAGGAGCAGAUUCUCCUCUGGAGCCCCUGCAGGAAGGGCAGCCCUGCUGACACCUUGGUAUUAGCCCAGUGAAACUGAUUUUGGAUUUCUGGCCUCUAGAACUGGGAGAGAAUAAAUUUCUGUUGU